rnacentral:rRNA from 1 species
GAUGAACGCUGGCGGCGUGCCUAAUACAUGCAAGUCGAGCGAACAGACGAGGAGCUUGCUCCUCUGACGUUAGCGGCGGACGGGUGAGUAACACGUGGAUAACCUACCUAUAAGACUGGGAUAACUUCGGGAAACCGGAGCUAAUACCGGAUAAUAUAUUGAACCGCAUGGUUCAAUAGUGAAAGACGGUUUUGCUGUCACUUAUAGAUGGAUCCGCGCCGCAUUAGCUAGUUGGUAAGGUAACGGCUUACCAAGGCAACGAUGCGUAGCCGACCUGAGAGGGUGAUCGGCCACACCGGAACUGGGACACGGUCCAGACUCCUACGGGAGGCAGCAGUAGGGAAUCUUCCGCAAUGGGCGAAAGCUUGACGGAGCAACGCCGCGUGAGUGAUGAAGGUCUUCGGAUCGUAAAACUCUGUUAUUAGGGAAGAACAAAUGUGUAAGUAACUAUGCACGUCUUGACGGUACCUAAUCAGAAAGCCACGGCUAACUACGUG